rnacentral:rRNA from 1 species
AUACAGAGGGUGCGAGCGUUAAUCGGAAUUACUGGGCGUAAAACGCGCGUAGGCGGCUACUUAAGUCAGAUGUGAAAUCCCCGGGCUCAACCUGGGAACUGCAUCUGAUACUGGGUAGCUAGAGUUUAGGAGAGGGAAGUAGAAUUUCAGGUGUAGCGGUGAAAUGCAUAGAGAUCUGAAGGAAUACCAGUGGCGAAGGCGGCUUCCUGGCCUAAAACUGACGCUGAGGUGCGAAAGCGUGGGUAGCAAACGGGAUUAGAUACCCCGGUAGUCC